CUGCUUGCUCACUCCCAGUCACGGGGCAGGGAGCAGGGAGCCAUUACAAUGUGGUGUCCAUGAGGCCAAGGCCACAGGUUAGCUCUUGUUGGGUCUGACAGGUUUACUUCUUAAAAGCCAGUCCCUAGCACAGCACCUGACGCAUGGUAACCUUUAAACUACUUCUUGAAAGAAAGUCACGGGCGAGGCUGGCUAUUUGUCUUUUCUUAUGGUUUCGAGUCUCAUCGAGGUCACUCAGUAAGACUUAAGAUGUACGUAUGGUCAGUGCAGUUAAUCAUCACUCCAGAAGGAAAGGAAAGGAAGGAAAAAUUCUCACACCCUGUGACAUGUUGAUUGCCGCCCCUCGCCCCCCCCCCCCCCCCGUGUGUGUGUGUGUGUGUGUCAGAGAGAGAGAUCGUGUCUUCAUGUACUCCCAGUAUUAUAUUAAAUAAUAAAAUUCUUUGUUUUUUCUCAGGAAAUAGGGUGGAUGUAAAUCUUUUAUUAAAAUAAUUUUUACUAAUAUUUUAUUAGUAUAUAAUCGUGUUUCUAUGGAACAUUCAAAGUGGGUUGCCGUUGUUUUACUAAUUUUUGCUGUUUUUUAUUUUAACUUAAUUUUAGAGAGAAAAUUUUCAAAAAUAAGGUUUUUUUUUUUUUUUUAUCACGUAAAUGGUUAAAUACUGAUAAAAGAGUGCUUGAGCAUGUGUUUGAGGAGGCUUAGUGGAGAAAAUGUUUAGAAUAAAGUAUUAUGAAAGUUUUAUCUAAGCCUGCUAGUCUUCUGAUUUUGGCUAAGAUAUAUUUUCGUUAUUAAAAAUUAUUCAUUCUCCUUACAGAAGAUUUGGAAGAUAUUCUGUAAAAAAGAGUUUGAAAACUCUUAAGCAAAAAGAAAAUGACUUCCUUUACCUGCCAGAGCAUAUUUUGUCGUUUUUAAAAGAACUUAAUUGAGCUCCCACCCUAGAUAAAAUUUUACAUUUCAGUUUUCCCCAUGACUGAUUGUCUUGCCAGGUUUUACGUUUGUACAGUGGCAGGGGAAGCACGGAGAGUUUAACAUUUAAAAUGAUAAUAUGGCGAGAUUGUUAACCCAGUAAGGUAUGGUGAUAGGCUGCUAGGUUGUCGACCGGUUAUCUAUUGAUCAUUAGAGGAUAAAGUUAUAUAACCAGUAGAAAUAGAAUUUUAUAAGCGAUGGUGGGUUUAUUCUAAUCUUAGGUACUUAUUAUCACAAGCGGAGGUAAGACCGUUGGGAUUUGAAACUUCUAAUGUGCUUUAAAAGUAUAGUUGGAAAUACCGUAAUGAAGUGUGUGGCAUGUGUAUAAAGACUCUCUUUUGUAUCAUGUAGUUUUGCUUACCUUCCUCCUCUGGCUAAUUUUUUAUACUGGGUCUCAGAGCAGGUUAAUGAUUUACCCUACCAUGACCCAUGUGGUCGGUUUCAGCCAGACUUGAUCACGGCAUGGCUUGUUGUCUUACUUGAUUCCAGGCCUUUGACGGGGCGCCCAGAGAUGCAGUGCACCUCGAUUUUGUUACUUGCACGUUUCCUUCUUCCUGGCUUUGAAGUCCUGUUUCUUCUAGCUCUCCUGAAACCUGUACAGUCUCAGGAAAGAUUCUUUAAGAUUAUUAUUUGUUUACUUAGCAGCAUUAAUUCCUUUCCAGAAACCUUCAUUUUUCAGCUUUAGGUAGUCUAAUCUACAGUCUAAAUCAGAUUUUCUUUUAGUAGCUUAAUUCCAGAAAUUUAAUCUAGUAUUUUGUUGUGUAUCCUAAAGUAUGGUAUAUUAAAACAGUUGGACCAGAAGGUGAAUUCUAGUCCACUUUUUUUUUUUUUUUUUUUUUUUUUUUUUUGAGAGAGAGACAGAACGUGAGCGGGGGAGGGGCAGAGAGAGAGGGAGACCCAGGAUCCGAGGCAGGUUCCAGGCUCCGAGCUGUCCGAGCAGGGCUCAGACUCAGGAACUGCGAGAUCACAACCUGAGCCAAAGUCGGGCGCCCCUCUCGUCCACAUUUUGACAUUUAGAUCUGUAUAUAUGGGAAAGUCUCUCUCAAAAGUUCCAGUUGAGUUUUCUCAUUUGUAAAAUAAGGGGAUUGGACUAGACACUUUAAUAAAUAUUUCUCAUGUUUCCUUUUUGAUCUAAAACUCAAUACUCUGAUCUUUGCGAGUUUAUAAAUUAUUGAUACUAUCAUUUUGGAAGCUUUAAUCAUAUUUUAUGUACUAAUUUUUUCUUUUUACUUUUUGACUACCUUCCUCCCCCCACACCUUCCACUGCAACCACCAGUCUGUUCUCUUUAUGUCUGUGAGGCGUAUGAGGUGGGGGGUUUUUUGUUUUUGUUUUUGUUUUUAAGAUUCCACAUAUGAGAGUUCACAUGGCAUUUGUCUUUCUUUGUGUGACUUACUUAACAUAAUGCCCUCGGGUCAAUCCAUGGUGUAACAUGUGGCAAGAUUUCAUUCUUUUUUAUGGCCGAGUAAUAUUCCAUUGUAUGCAUAUACCGCAAUUUCUUUUAUUCAUGCAUCCAUCAGUGGAUACUUAGGUUGCUUCUAUGUCUUGGCUCUUGUAAAUAGGGCUGCCUGUAUCUUUUUGAGUCAGUGCUUUCCUUUUCUUCAGAUAAAUACCCAGAAGUGGAAUUGCAGGACCAUGGGGUAGUUCUGGUUUUAAUUUUUUUGACGAACUUCCAUUCUGCUUGCCAUAGUGGUCGUACCAGUUUAUGUUCCCAUCGGCAGUGCACAAAGGCUUCCUUUUCUUCAUGUUCUCACCAACACUUACUUCUUGUGUUUUCGAUACAUUCUAACAGGUAUGAGGUUUUGACAGGUAUGAGGUUUUGAUUUGCGUGUCUUUGAGGAUUAACGGUGAGCAUCUUUUCAUAGACCUGUUGGCCAUCUAUAUGUCUUUUGAAAAAGGUCUUUUCAGAUCUUCUGCCCAUUUUAAAAAUCAGAUUUUUUUUUUUUUGCUAUUGACUCUAUGAAUGAGUUCUUUCUAUAUGUAUAUCUUAGAUAUUAGUCCCUUAUCAGAUACAUGAUUUGCAAAUACUUCUCCCAUUUAGUAGGUUGCUUCUAAUCCUGUUUUAGAUAAUAUAAGGAGCGUGGAAUUAGAUACAGUUAAAUAUGAGUUAUGCCUAGGUUCCCAGUUUUGUUCAUGGAAAGUUACAGUGCAAAGUAAAUGCACGUUUCUUCCUUGAAAAGCAUGUAGUAGAAGUUAGUGAUAUUGCCAUUUUAUUCAUUAGCAGGCUAUUUUAUGUAACUAUUUACUCAGGUUUGAAAUUUUCUUCUUUUCUGAUACCGUUCAAAAGAAUUUUGAAUUAUUGCCCUUGAUGGAGGUUCCACAUUUGUUUACUUAGUUGUGUGACCUUGGACAAGUUACUUCUGCAUACGAUGGUUUCCUUAUCUGUGUAAUAGGGAUAAAAUGAGCCUGGGCGGCUCAGUAGUUUGAGCGUCCGACUCUUGACCUGGUCCGGCUCUUGACCUUGGCCCACGUCAUGAUCCCAGGGUCAUGGGAUGGAGCCCCACCUUGGGCUCCAUGCUGAGUGUGAAGCCUGAUUGGGACUCUCUCUUCCUCUGUUCCUCUCCUGCUCUCCCUUGCUCGCUCGCUCUCAAAUUUAAAAAAAAAAAAAAAGAAGACAAAAUUCUAUCUGGCUCAUGGUAAUCACUUAUGUAAUGGCGGUGGAGGUUCUUGUUAUUCUACCCUUCUAAAGUGAUUUGCUCCCCUGGGCAUGGAAAGGAUCCUGGGGGCACUACUGAUUAAUGUUCGUGGCCUCAACAAAUGUUAGUAAGCAGAACUGAAAUUUCUUUUAUGCAGUGCAGUUCCUGAAUUUCAUUUUCAUCACAAGAAACAGCUUAGUGGUAGUAUAUUACACUGUGAAAGCACAGAUUUAUGUUGAGGUGGAUCAGAGUCUGAUGUUACAAACCAAGAAUGUAGAUUGUCGUUCUGUUUUGAAUAGUUUGUAGAAAGAUUUUAUUCCUUUUGUCUGGGAAUAAAAACGGUCUAAUUUGUGACAUUCUCAACCGUGUUUUAGAAGUUUAGGUAAGUUGGGAAUACCACCUUUCGAUGAGAAAUCUUACCUUAUUCUUUAUAGUAGAGAGAAAAAGCACACCAACUCUUUGCCCCUGUGAGAACGGGCUGUGUGCAUUAAAGUCAGCUUCAGGCCUUACUUCCUUUCAUAUCUUCCUAUUGUUCAUGCCUCUGUCCUCUCCUGGAACAACGUCUCUUGCUGGCCUGCAGUGUAGUUACCCAGCCUACUUUCGUAUCUUAUCUAAAACUUCUCUCCCUGCCUCACGGCUGGAACAGGAUUAUUUAAUAUCUGUAAAGUACUUUAAGGAUUGUAAGAGAAAGGUAAAUGCUAGACCUUGUGAAGAGUUUCGUGUGGGUUGCUGGACUGAAAACUUGAAACCGGACACACGGCGUUGUUGAAAAUCCCUAAAACUAAAGUUUGAUCAUUUAAAGCCCCACGCUUAGGCUUUGUGUUAAAGAGGGAGGUGAGGGGAGACCAUUUAAGUAUACUUUGCUUUGGAAAAAGCGAAGUUAUUAAGUCUUUGCUUUCGCAGACGCGCUCCAUCCAGAAGAACGUUGUGAUAAUGUCAAGUACAAGAUAUUUAACAGAGAACCUGAUUGCAGCUCUUCAUGAUUUCAUGAUCCUAGAUGUUCUCUGGCUGAGGCUUUUCUGUCGCUUCUCUGUGAGAAAGACCAUUAGCUGUUUUUUAAAAAAUGGUGUAGUGGCUACAGAGUGUAGACGUUUGCCGGUAAUCCCGUUUGUAGUAAUCCACAUGUCUAAGGCUGCGUGCCAGUAAAAAUUUAUGUCCAACUUAAACCGAGAAGUGAUGUUUAUUUCAGUGAUGGCUCACAGAUGUUCUUCUCGAAAUGCUUUAGGUGUGGGAACCAUCCAUGCAUUUCAUGCUUGUGAAUGCUGGUUUAAAUCACAGCAUCUUUUAGCCGAGUUAGAGUACUGUUGCCUUUGAUUUUAUUUCGGUGUUUUAGUGACCCAAUAAGUCUCCUGCCUGAUAGUAAGUGUUCUCCUUGGGAGGAUGGGGACUAUUCGGGGGAAUAAUGGGCACUAUUAUUAAGCUGGUAGUGACGUGCUUUUUUUGUUUGUUCUUUGGGUUUUUUGGGGGUGUGUGUAGAGAGUGCCUUUUCUUCAGUAAGUACUUUCAGGAAGUCUGAAUGGAGAACUACACGAUUAUCAGGGUGUGUGUGGGUACUGAGAAUACAGAGGUGACCGUGAUAAGCCCUGGCCUCACAGAGCUUCCCCUGGAGUGUGUCCUGACUGGUUUAUAGAUGUGCUGAGAAAGUAAUCCUCAUGGCCACUGGGCAGCCAGGAGCCAUCUGGAUUGACCAGAGAUCCUUGACCAGUCACAUCCCAGUGAGAACAGCCUUAUCUGUAUAUUUUUGUGGGCUCUACGGUUACUAUUGUCCGUGUAUACGACGAUGAGAAAAAGGUUGGGAAGGAGGGUAGACACAAAAGACGAGUGUAAGGAGAUGGUUUUUGCAUAAGUAAUGAUACAUACACGCGAAAGAGAAAGUGGUCCACUCUGGGAGAGAGAAGAGGAAUGCAGGGGAAAAGCUUCACAGAAGAGAUUUGAAUUUUGUGAAAUGAAGUCAUGUAUUGCAUGGGCAAGAAAGGGGGAUUCCAGAUGCAAGGAAAGGUAUGCAGUCAUGGGACGGAUGGUGUGCUGCUUUUAGAAUCUGUAGCUGGUUUGCACGGAAGGAAUCCUUGGAGGCUGGAGAGGAGGAAGGGGCAGACCACGAAAUACCAAGAGAGUUUACCAACAACUAUUGACUCUCUUUAGAUAUCGUUAAAAUGUGUAUUUAGCCUGAGAAAAUGUAAGUUCAGAGGAAAGUUGUAGGGAUCAUGAAACAAUGGAAUUGAUAAAAAUGUGUCAGUAUAUUUAAUUACAUUGAUUAUUAAAAGUUCCUUUUUUUUUUUUUUUUUAAAGAUGACAGUAACAAGAUGGGGUAGAAAAACUAUUCAGUGGGUAGUUAAAACCUGUUAAAGGUGUUGUUCCCCUCUCCCCCCCCCCCCCCCGCCCCCGCCCCGGGGCCCACAAGCCCCAGUAUUAGAAAAUUUAAAGUUACAUAUGCAUGUUAAAACUCAAGGAUAGAUAAAUACGAGUCCACACAAGAAACAAAUUUUCUUGCUUCCAAACCAGCAGAAAUGUAAACCAGCACUCAAACUCUGAGGGCAGGAAGAUGGGAAAAACAAGAAGGGGGGGAAAAAAGUGAUAAACAGAAGACAAAAAUGAAGUGGAAUAAGCCCUACUGCAUUAAUUACAUUAAAUCGAAAUAGAUUAAAUUUUUCUGUAUUAUGGUGAAGGGACUAUGAAAUUGGAUAAAAGCCAAAAUAUUGCUAAACAAGAAACCUGCCUAAAACAAAAAGACGACAUAUCUAACAAUGCAACACUGCUGCCAUACCUAAGAAAACCAAAUCUAUGUAUAGACUGGUCUUUGAGAUAUUUCAGGAUCAUUUCAAAGUUAUUUAGGGCUUUUUUGUUGUUGUUGUUAGCUUCGUACUUUCUCUGGCUGUCGUCUUGAAGAUCCACUUAGGGUUAGGAAGGCUCAGGUAAUAGUAACCCCGUUUUCACAGGUUGGAGACUAGGCUUCAGGUCGCCACCACAGCAACUAGGGAUGGGGUCCAGAGUUCUCGACUUCCAAGUCUGUGAUGAUGGCCACAAGCCAAUAUGUUGAAGCUAUCAUGGUUGGGACAAAAUUGUUUCUCCUUCUUUUUUAAACAAGAAUUUGGGAAUUUUUGUCUCUAACGUCUAAGCUGUGUGUGUGUGUGUGUGUGUGUGUGUGUGUGUGUGUAGGUUUGAGUCCCACUUCAUUAAUUAUUGGUACUUGGAUUUCAGCUGUGAAAUGGAAUAGUAAUUCCCAUUAGACCCCAUGAAUGGAUGCAUGUGAAAUGAGAUGAUUCAUGUGGAAGGCCUUUGUGCUAUAAAUAGAAACUAAAAUCAUUAUAUAACCAUUAUUGAUAGGACUUCUUGUCCUCAUAAGGAGAGGAUGCGAGUGCCAUGAACUGUGGGAGUUAAGACGGGGCUCAACAAGUUCGCUUUGACAGUGGUCACGUCAAAGUUUGAAAGUGAGUAUUUUACGGAUCCUGGUCUUAGGAUGCGCAAGUGAUUGAUGAAGCAAAGUGUUAGGUUAUUUAUUUGUUUUUUAAUCUAAUGGCUCGUAAAUUUAUGGUUAAUAGGGAGUUUUGUUUUUUCUUUGAUAAGGUAUUUGUGGGUUUGGCUCUCUUACUAACAUACAAUUGUUUACUGAAUUGUGCUGUGAGGGAGCAGUUAACUUUUUUUUUUUAUGUUUAUUUAUUUUUGGGAGGGAGAGCAAGUGGGGGUGGGGCAGAGCAAAAGGGGAUCCGAAGCCGGCUCCACCCUGACAGUAGCGAACCUGAUGCCGAGCUUGAACUCACGAACUGUGAGAUCAUGACCUUAGCUGAAGUCGGACGCUCAACCUACUGAGCCACCCAGGCAUCCUGAGAGCAGUUAACUUCUGAUGUCAGCAGAUUUCCUGUAAUUCCCAUCUAGUGGCAUUUUUUUAAAGGUCUAAAAUCAUGGAAAGUAAAUUUUGUUAAUUUCUACAGUAUUGGUCUGUGUGGGUCUUUCAGGGAUCCUUGACGAGAGAACUUUGUAAUUCUUUCAAAUUACGAUCACACCAGGAGCCCAUCUGGGCACAUAUCAAGUAAGCAGUGCAGGAGGUUCUAGGGGCAAAAGGAGAGAAUAAAAUAAAAGCCUUCUGUUCUUUGGAAUGGAAAAUAUGUUUGUAAUACGAGAUUCUGUAGACAAAAACAGUUAUUCUGAUUUGUAUGUGAUUAUCUCAGUUCAAAAGAUUAGGCAUAACUUUGAAGAAGCUACUGUCUUUUUUUCUAGAAUAUUGUUCCACAACAAUGUUUGUUUUUGUUUUGUUUUUUUGCCGAUGUUGGAAAGAUUCCCUGGUAUUUAAUUUGCUCUAUGAAGAUACAUGCAGGAUGAUUACGG